GCCCGGAUGGCGGAACUGGUAGACGCGUCGGUCUCAAAAACCGAUAUACGAAAGUAUGUGCCGGUUCGAUUCCGGCUCCGGGUA
rnacentral:tRNA from 1 species